ACGGCGAGUGAGCGGCAAAAGCUCAAAUUUGAAAUCUGGUACCUUCGGUGCCCGAGUUGUAAUUUGGAGAGGGCAACUUUGGGGCCGUUCCUUGUCUAUGUUCCUUGGAACAGGACGUCAUAGAGGGUGAGAAUCCCGUGUGGCGAGGAGUGCGGUUCUUUGUAAAGUGCCUUCGAAGAGUCGAGUUGUUUGGGAAUGCAGCUCUAAGUGGGUGGUAAAUUCCAUCUAAAGCUAAAUAUUGGCGAGAGACCGAUAGCGAACAAGUACAGUGAUGGAAAGAUGAAAAGAACUUUGAAAAGAGAGUGAAAAAGUACGUGAAAUUGUUGAAAGGGAAGGGCAUUUGAUCAGACAUGGUGUUUUGUGCCCUCUGCUCCUUGUGGGUAGGGGAAUCUCGCAUUUCACUGGGCCAGCAUCAGUUUUGGUGGCAGGAUAAAUCCAUAGGAAUGUAGCUUGCCUCGGUAAGUAUUAUAGCCUGUGGGAAUACUGCCAGCUGGGACUGAGGACUGCGACGUAAGUCAAGGAUGCUGGCAUAAUGGUUAUAUGC
rnacentral:rRNA from 1 species